GAUGAACGCUGGCGGCGUGCCUAAUACAUGCCAGUCGAACGGACAGACGAGGAUCUUGCUCCUCGGGCGUUAGCCGCGGGAGUGUGAGUAACGCGUGGAUAACCUACCUAUAAGACUGGUAUAGCUUCGUGAAACCGGAGCUAAUACCGGAUAAUAUAUUGAAGCGCGUGGUUGGAUAGUGAAAGACGGUUUUGCUGUCACUGAUAGAUGUAUCCGCGCUGCAUGGGCUGGUUGGUAAGGUAACGGCUUACCAAGGCAACGAUGCGUAGCCGACCUGAGAGGGUGAGGGGCCACACUGGAACUGAGACACGGUACAGAGUCUGAGGGGAGGCAGAAGUAGGGACUCUUGGGCACUGGGCGAAAGAUUGACGGAGCAACGCAGGGCGAGUGCUGCAGGUCUUCGGACGGUAAAACUCUGUUAUUAGGGAAGAACACAUGUGUAAGUAACUAUGCACGUCUUGACGGUACCUACUCAGAAAGCAACGGCUAACUACGUG
rnacentral:rRNA from 1 species